GAUGGAGAGGCAGGUCCUCCAGCAAGUGGAACCACUGGAGCUCGCCAGUUAAAAUCCUUCACGCUGUCUCUGGAACCCCAAGGAAUAUUGCUAAAAUGAUCCUACACUCUUGGGAAAUGCCCCAGAGUUACUGUCGUACCAGCAGCAGCCAGUGAGACUAAAUUUUUCCCCUGCUGCAUGCCAGGCUUAGUACCCGCCUACCUCAAGGUAAGGGACGCGGGUGGUGCUGUGGGUUAAACCACAGAGCCUAGGACUUGCCGAUCAGAAGGUCGGCGGUUCAAAUCCCCGUGACGGGGUGAGCUCCCGUUGCUCGGUCCCUGCUCCUGCCAACCUAGCAGCUUGAAAGCACGACAGGAAGGUAAACGGUGUUUCCGUGUGCUGCUCUGGUUCGCCAGAAGCAGCUUAGUCAUGCUGGCCACAUGACCCGGAAGCUGUAUGCCGGCUCCCUCGGCCAAUAAAGCGAGAUGAGCACCGCAACCCCAGAGUCGGUCACGACUGGACCUAAUGGUCAGGGGUCCCUUUACCUUUACCUUACCUCAAGGUAAGGGGGAGUCAUCUCUACCACCCAGGGAGACAGGGCUUAUCUUCAACCACCUGUUUCCAUAGCCCCUUUAACUGCUACCUCCUUGGCUUCCCAACUUGGUAGUCAGCCUUACUGCCAUAUCUUCCCCCAUUUUAGUUGAAGGAAUUGUUUUGGAACAUUUCUCAAUCCCUUUUUGGUUUUACCACCCUGAAUGAUGUGUCAUUCAUGAGCUUCACCAAAUCGCCAUGUCAUCCUUAACUCAGUUUCAUUUAUGAGCAUGUUAAAAAGCACCAAUCUCACUAUAAACCCUUUGUGGGGUAGGGACGCAUAUUACAUCCUUCCAUUGUUAGAAAUCUACAUUUAUCCUUGUUCUCUGUUUUCUGUUCUCUUUAACUAGUUACCGAUCCAUAGGGGGGUCAUAUUCCACAGUCUACAUUUAUUCAGGAGACUACAGUGAAAGUCUUCCUGCUUCUUACAUUCUGCCUCUCAGGGCAAAGCCUGCCAAAGGUGGUUUUACAAAAGUUAAUUAGCUUCAAACAACAACAACAAGUUUAUUAUUUAUAUGCCAUCCAUCUGACUGGGUUGCCAUAUAACACAAUAAUUUCCCUUUAAAUACAUAGCAAGAACAUUGUGCUUUCAAAUAAUUUACAGUACAAUCUACAUGUAAUGCUUUCAGUCAAGGUCUUCCCAUAAGCUUCUUUCUGUCCAUCCACCUAUGGUCCCUACUGAUGCCUUGUCUUAUCAAUCAAAGUUGUACUGGCACAUUAUAGCUUCCUCCACCUGCUGCCUUUGAUGGUCCAAUGUCUCCCUUUGUGCUUGCACUAAUGAUGAAAAUAUUUCGGAAUCUGAGUAGCCUUCCCUUUCAAGCAUGGCUCAUUAGAUUAUCUGGACUUUCUGUUCUUCAAAUCCUUUCAAGGACUCUCAUCUGCUGGAGUAUCCAGGCAACUGGAGGAGUAACCAUGGAGGGGCUGUUCAGAAGAAAGGAAACAAGCCCACAGGAGCCAAGGUUCAUAUGUCACAACAAACUGGAGUCUGGCUUGUUUAGGGUUUGUUUCCUCUCCUGCACAGCACAGUCGGGAGCGAGAGAAGAAUGAAGUGUCCAUGCACAUUAAAA